CCUACGGUGGGCAGCAGUGGGGAAUAUUGGACAAUGGGGGGAACCCUGAUCCAGCGACGCCGCGUGAGUGAAGAAGUAUUUCGGUAUGUAAAGCUCUAUCAGCAGGGAAGAAAGAAAUGACGGUACCUGACUAAGAAGCCCCGGCUAACUACGUGCCCGCAGCCGCGGUAAUACGUAGGGGGCAAGCGUUAUCCGGAUUUACUGGGUGUAAAGGGAGCGUAGACGGUUACGCAAGUCUGGAGUGAAAGGCGGGGGCCCAACCCCCGGACUGCUGUUGAAACUGGAUAACUGGAGUGCGGGAGAGGUAAGUGGAAUUCCUAGGGUAGCGGUGAAAUGCGUAGAUAUUAGGAGGAACACCAGUGGCGAAGGCGGCUUACUGGACUGUAACUGACGUUGAGGCUCGAAAGCGUGGGGAGCAAACAGGAUUAGAUACCCGGGUAGUC
rnacentral:rRNA from 1 species